GAUGAACGCUGGCGGCGUGCCUAAUACAUGCAAGUCGAGCGAACAGAUGAGAAGCUUGCUUCUCUGAUGUUAGCGGCGGACGGGUGAGUAACACGUGGGUAACCUACCUAUAAGACUGGGAUAACUCCGGGAAACCGGGGCUAAUACCGGAUAAUAUUUUGAACCGCAUGGUUCAAUAGUGAAAGACGGCUUCGGCUGUCACUUAUAGAUGGACCCGCGCCGUAUUAGCUAGUUGGUAAGGUAACGGCUUACCAAGGCGACGAUACGUAGACGACCUGAGAGGGUGAUCGGCCAAACUGGAACUGAGACACGGUCCAGACUCCUACGGGAGGCAGCAGUAGGGAAUCUUCCGCAAUGGGCGAAAGCCUGACGGAGCAACGCCGCGUGAGUGAUGAAGGUCUUCGGAUCGUAAAACUCUGUUGUUAGGGAAGAACAAAUUUGUUAGUAACUGAACAAGUCUUGACGGUACCUAACCAGAAAGCCACGGCUAACUACGUGCCAGCCGCCGCGGUAA
rnacentral:rRNA from 1 species